ACGUUGUUUUUAUUAGUUUUUUAUUCGGACUUUUAAUCCGUUUGUCGGCGGUUCGAAUCCGCCACGGCCUA
rnacentral:tRNA from 1 species